UUGGAGGGCAAGUCUGGUGCCAGCAGCCGCGGUAAUUCCAGCUCCAAUAGCGUAUAUUAAAGUUGUUGCAGUUAAAAAGCUCGUAGUUGAAUUUCGGGGUUAGUAGAUUGGUCAUGCCUCAGGUAUGUACUGAUCUCACUGAUUCCUCCUUCCUGAUGAACCGUAAUGCCAUUAAUUUGGUGUUGUGGGGAAUCUGGACUGUUACUUUGAAAAAAUUAGAGUGUUUAAAGCAGGCUAACGCUUGAAUACAUUAGCAUGGAAUAAUGAAAUAGGACGUUCGAUCCUAUUUUGUUGGUUUCUAGGAUUGACGUAAUGAUUAAUAGGGAUAGUUGGGGGCAUUAGUAUUCAAUUGUCAGAGGUGAAAUUCUUGGAUUUAUUGAAGACUAACUACUGCGAAAGCAUUUGCCAAGGAUGUUUUCAUUAAUCAAGGACGAAAGUUAGGGGAUCGAAGACGAUCAGAUACCGUCGUAGUCUUAACCAUAAACUAUGCCGACUAGGGAUCGGAUGAUGUUAAUUUUUUAAUGACUCAUUCGGCGCCUUACGGGAAAC
rnacentral:rRNA from 1 species